UCCAUUCACAGAAACGCUGGCUCGCUCGCUGGCCCUUUCAUUCACACAAACAGCAUCUCAUUCACAUUCUGUCGUUUUUUUGUCUGCUUCUAAUGAAGACCACGGUUUGGGAAUGGUGGGGCUGACUUGCUUCAGAUUGGAGGGGGACUCUAAUCACCAUCGAAAUCGUCCGUGGGGUGCGCAUCUGCUGUUGCUAUGCAAGCUAGGGGAAGGGAAAAAAGAGAGUGCGGGGUGGCUGCUGGGCUAGGGCUGCGGCGCGGUUGGAGAGCGGUGGGGACGCGUUUGCUGCGACAGGGCGGGCCUGGCUGCUCAGCGCUCCUUCGUCCUCUGGAGCCGGCCUCACCCGUGCGCCCGCCAUGGGUGACACUCCCUAAACUCCGUUCCUGGGGCUCCCAGAAAGCCUGGGAACCUCGCAGCCACCUGAGAUCAGCCCUGGGCGUGAGAAGACUCAGGGUGACCUGCUAGUGUGCUAGAAGGCAAAAGCAUUCGCUGGCACAGAAGUUACCGGGAAACUUUGACAGCGGUUGACUUCCCUGUGAUGCAGGUUAUUCAUCUUAAUGCAUGAGGCCACCUGGCAGAGGCCACCGAGGAAGGUCUCAGAAUCUUGGACAGACCUUCCGGGAGGCUGUCGAUGUCCUGCUCUCCUAAACGCCAGGAAGAAGGCCUGUGUGUGUCAUUGCAAGCCUGAGCCCGACUCCCAAGGAUGAGGCCGUUCUUCCUGUGGAUUUGAUGGGCAGUUAGAGCAGCCACAUUUUUUUUUUUCCUGCCUGACUGCAGGGCUGCAAAGCAGCAGCUGAAGGGACAUUGACAUGGAUUGGUGGUGUUACUAAGGCGUGCUUCCAGGGCUUAAACACAUUCAGUUGGAAUAAAGCUCAGAGCUCAACCCUCUUUUUUCCCUUUUUCUUUCUUGGCAUGGAUUUCUGGAGCCUGUUGCCGCUCAUCAGAGAAGCACCAUUCUUUUUUGGAAGUAGAUUUUCAACUUAAUCCUGACUGAGAAAGGCUGCUGGCUGCUGUAAAUGAUCAGGCAAGACCCCCUAAGCUGUACUGAGAAGAAGUUCAUGUGCAGAUUUUUUUUUCCGUGUGUUGUCUGAGGAAUUGCAUCGCCACAGACAUUCGCCAGCAGACACACAUGGCUGCUCUGUGGAUGUGAACAAGAAAAGCAAACCACAGGAAACCGACGCCUUUUAUUUAUUUAUUUUUUUUACAUUUUCACCUGAUGGUGAAGGGUUCCCUCUUUUCCUUUUUUUUUUUUCUGAAAAAUUGUUGCUGCUUCCUAAAUCAAGAUUCAUCAGGAUUUGCCUGAAGACUUCUUAAAAAGCCUUCGUCACAUUUUAACGCAUCGCUCGCUGUCAGACACUUCUGGGGCUCAUCCUCAUGAGCUUGGCAGGGGAAGAACGAACCCUAGCAUGGAAUAAUGGGUUUUGGAAAGUUCAAGAGAUCAUUUGAAGGAACUGGAUUUAACUUUGGCACAAAUGCAGGAUGGGGCAGGGGUAGGUGAAAAAGCAAAGAUUGGAAGGAAAUAUCUGCGAAGGAAGUGGUUUGCGGAGCUCACCGAGCCUUUGUUGAGAAGGGUCUCCUCAGAGUGAGUCACGCUUUUGCUGGGAGCAGCCCCGUGCAGCUGGGCGCUCCAUCAGCGGCAACUAUGACUUUUGCAAGGCAAGCGUUCCACCCCAACCCGUGGUCUUCCGGGCCCGCGCUGCGUGUCGGUUGCUCUGCUGCCUUGUAACGGUGUGAGGGCUCGGUCGUCAGCCUCGGCUGUCCCUCUCCGGAAAGGUUGUCCCGGGACCCCAGCUCCUUGUCCCGCUCCGGGGCCCGCGGCUCGUGUGCUAUGCGCGGCAGCCCGCGCCGGGGCCGGCAGCAGCAGCGCCCGGGCGGAUGCGGCGAGCUCACGGAGGGGCAUGCUUCCACGCACCAAGUACAACCGCUUCAGGAAUGACUCGGUGACAUCGGUCGAUGACCUUCUCCACAAUCUGUCGGUGAGCGGCAGCGGCGGCAAGGUCUCGGCGGCGGCGCCCGCGGCGACCCCCUACCUGGUGUCGGGCGAGGCGCUGCGCAAGGCGCCGGACGAUGGGCCCGGCAGCCUGGGCCACCUGCUCCACAAGGUGUCCCACCUGAAACUCUCCAGCUCCGGCCUGCGCGGCCUGUCGUCCGCUGCCCGGGAGCGGGUGGGCGCGCGGCUUUCGGGCAGCUGCAGCGCGCCCAGCCUGGCGGCCCCGGACGGUGGCAGCGCGACCCCCGGGGCUCGCGCCCAGGCCGCCAGCAUGAGCGCCACCAGGAAGAGCCGGGCCGGCGACGAGCCGCUGCCCAGGCCCCCGCGGGGCGCUCCUCACGCCAGCGAGCAGGUGUUGGGGCCGGGAGUCACCUAUGUGGUCAAGUACUUGGGAUGCAUUGAAGUUCUGCGCUCAAUGAGGUCUCUGGACUUCAGUACAAGAACUCAGAUUACCAGGGAAGCCAUCAGUCGUGUCUGCGAAGCUGUGCCAGGUGCCAAAGGAGCCUUCAAGAAGAGAAAGCCUCCGAAUAAAAUGCUGUCCAACAUUCUGGGGAAGAGCAACCUCCAGUUCGCAGGGAUGAGCAUCUCCCUGACCAUCUCCACCGCCAGCCUGAAUCUGCGCACUCCUGACUCCAAACAGAUCAUAGCAAACCAUCACAUGCAGUCCAUCUCCUUCGCCUCGGGGGGAGACCCGGACACAACAGACUAUGUUGCCUAUGUUGCUAAGGACCCUGUUAAUCGCAGAGCUUGCCACAUUCUGGAAUGCUGUGAUGGGCUAGCCCAAGAUGUCAUUGGCUCCAUCGGACAAGCCUUUGAGCUCCGGUUCAAACAGUAUUUGCAGUGUCCUUCCAAGAUUCCUGCUCUGCAGGACCGGAUGCAGAGCCUAGAUGAGCCAUGGACUGAAGAGGAGGGAGAUGGUCCUGAUCACCCAUACUACAACAGUGUUCCCAGCAAGAUGCCUCCUCCAGGGGGAUUUCUUGAUGCUCGAUUGAAAGCCAGACCCCACGCUCCUGACACAGCCCAGUUUGCAGGGAAAGAGCAAACUUACUACCAGGGAAGACACUUAGGAGAAGCCUUUGGUGAAGACUGGCAGCGAGCACCCACCAGGCAGGGUUCCUUGGACAUCUACAGCACACCAGAAGGGAAAGGGCACAUGGCUCUGGUAGGAGAGACACCAACCUAUGUCAACACCCAGCCAGUCCCUCCACAGGUUUGGCCAGCAGCAAGCAGCAGCACCGAGAGCAGCCCACGGAAGGACCUCUUUGAUAUGAAGCCUUUUGAAGAUGCUCUCAAGAACCAGCCCCUGGGGCCCGUGUUGAGCAAAGCAGCGUCUGUGGAGUGCAUUAGCCCUGUUUCACCCAGAGCCCCAGAUGCCAAGAUGCUGGAGGAGCUUGAUGCAGAACCCUGGUACCAAGGAGAGAUGAGCAGGAAGGAGGCAGAGGCACUGUUGCAGGAAGAUGGAGACUUCCUAGUCAGAAAGAGUACUACCAACCCUGGUUCCUUUGUCCUCACGGGCAUGCACAAUGGCCAGGCCAAGCACCUGCUGCUGGUGGACCCGGAAGGCACGAUCCGGACGAAGGACAGGAUCUUUGACAGCAUCAGUCACCUCAUCCACUACCAUCUUGAGAGCAGCCUGCCCAUCGUCUCUGCCGGGAGUGAGCUUUGCCUCCAGAAACCUGUGGAGAGGAAGCACUGACCAGGCCCAGAGCCCUCCCCAUGCCGUGCACCAGGUCAGGGGACCUGGGCUCCACUGCUCUCAGCCUAUGGGAACUGGGGCAGCUGUCUGUGGGCUCAUCACCCUUUCAAAAUCCCCCCUGCCCAAGGAGGUUUCCUUUGAGUUCAAUUUCAUAAACAUGUUCCACACAUCUCAGAUGCGUAUUAGAGGUGUAUAUACCCACACAUCCUGUACAAAUGGCCCCUAUAUUUAUAUUUUUUAAGACUAAGAAAGAUGUGAGAUGAAUGCUCUAUGCUGUAUGUUUUUAGUGAGAGGCAAAUUUUGACUAUAGUUGUUCAGGCAAAAAUUUGAAUUCAACUCUACUGGGAAGCUCUGCUAGAAGGUGUAGCGGCAGUUCUACAUGAUAAGCACAACACAAUGGGAAUGCAGGUGAGCUGGCAGCUCCGGGACAAGCAGACUUGUGACAGAAUAUGACAGCUGCCCAAACAUCUGCCCCUGCCCUACAGCCCCAUGUGAGUGCUGAUUCCAGGCUGCAGCUCUGCCCACAGAUGGAGGUGCCUCCUCCGCUUCUGGCUUUCUGGGUGCUGCCUUCCAUGCCCCAGAUAGAUGCCAUGAAAGUGGGUUUUCUGUCACAUGAUGACCCACUGAAGUCCCACUCCAUAGCAGGUGGUACUCUGCCUCUUUUUCUGAGUUGUGUUUUAGGUCAUGUUUGACCCAUGUUGUUUGGGUCAUGGGGACCUGUCACCUUCGACCCUGGUUGUGUAUGUGUGUGGAUUUGGCGCAUUUAUUUUAGGCCCAAUAUGGUACACAAUAAGACUUAAGAUCUGUGGUUGACAGAUGCUUCCUUUGCCUUCAUCAGCGUAGUGAUGGAAUGAAAGUCUGCGGAAGGCAGGAUGUGGAAUGUAUUCCAGGUCUGCAUGUCCUUCAAGCCAGUGUGCUCGCCACAGACUGUGCAUGGAAGGUGCCUGUGAGGUGGCCUCCCACCUACCUCUUGUAUUCAGUAGAACAAAGGGCAUGGGGUGAAAGAGAGAAACCGUGGGAAAUGAACAGCUUUAUUACCCAUCGUGCAUAGAGAACCAUCCUGUGGAGUGAACCUUCCAAGGUACCAGUGAACACUGUACCCCGGUUCACACUUCACCCACAACACUUUCCCACAACCAAAGCCACUAACAUUGGAGUCAAGUGACAGCUCACAAGGCAGGGAAGAGUGGACUAACCAGGCUUGGGCAAGGAGUUUCUUCUUCUUCUUCUUCUUCUUCUUCUUCUUCUUCUUCUUCUUCUUCUUUUUUUUUAACACUAUGUGUGAGUUGCCAAAUUGACUGUUCUCUGUUCAACAACUUUUGGAUACAACUUGUUUCAGAGGAUUGUAAAAUUAUGUGCGUUUCUUUGUAUUCAGAAUUAAACAUUUGAUGUUUAAAGACCCCGGAUUAAGGAGACAGCUCAGCAUAAAUGUAUUGUAUAACAAGGUAUUUAAUAGUUUUUCAAAAUCAUUUGGAUGGCCAUACAUAUUGAUAUAUGAAUAUUUGGAAUUAUUCUGUUUCUGUUAACCUCUGUGAGACACAGUUACUGUAACAGUGAUCUGUCUGGGCUUAUGGCCAGCCCACAUCCUUCUACUUCAAUACCGGCAUGGAAUUGACUUCCUAAGUCACCUGUGAGGAGCAGAAAUAUAAUACCAAUUUCAAGUUUUCUAAUACUUUUCUAUGAUAAAACUUAGGUGAUUCGGUGAACAUUUGGAGAUCCCAAGAUACAACAAGCAAAGGUAAUUGGUUUGAACUGCCUUACCUCUAGGGGCUCCAUCUUGCUCUUUUGGGGACUGGUGUCUCAUGCCCUUCACCAUGGGCCUGGCACACCACACCGAAGCUUCUGGGAUAACCAAGUGGACUCAGUGUAUCGCAUCCCCUCCUCGUGGCCCAGGUAUGGCAGGAGGCAGGCCGACUACUCUAGACAAUGCUGUUCUUCUUGUUAUCACUAGGUCCUGGGAUAUGUGCCUUCAUCAUCUGGACAGCCAUCCAUGCAUUUCGGUUUCCAUAGCAGCCCCCCUGAACCUCUGACCUAGACACUGAAAUCAUUUGGGUGAUGAAGUUUGCACUUGUCCAUACAGUUUCCAAAGCAUGGAGCCAGUGAUGUAAUUAUACAUUUUCUAUAAAACGCAACCUUGUUCCAUUUCUGUGAACGGCUCUUUCCCAGCACAGAAUAACCACGGCUCAAAGAUUGAGAGAAGCAACCAUUUUUAAAUAGUUAAUUGUUCCAGUGACUAUAGGUGUGAGUCUGUUGGCAAUAAAGGCUACUGUGAAAAGUG